rnacentral:lncRNA from 1 species
GGGUUUCCACUCGGGUAUGCCAGUCUAGACAUCUAUCCCUAUUAGGCUUAAACUUAGAAGAACUAAAAACUCAGAAUCUGGUUAGCCCUAUUACGUGUCGCUUUAUUUGCAUCAUAUGCAUUUGACUUAGUGAGACUCGGCACAGGGGUCGGGUCUUUUUAGGACAAGUGACCUACUUUAUAAAGACCAACAUAUGUAUCCUAUGUGCUCUUUGAAAUUUGUUUGGAAGGCUGUUUAUUUGUUAACUGGCUUUAGGCAACUUUAAAAUGCAAGAGAUUAAAUUAUCCUCACAUUUAGUGAAUCAUUUUAAAAAAAAAGAAAAAAAUUAUUUUUAAAAGAAAGAAAAUUUUUUAGUAACAUAGUUUUAUGGUCUUUAUGAACUACGAGGGUCUGAUUCUCAUUCUUUAGUGGGAUACAUACGAAGUCCUUCCCAAGAUACGACCCUAUCUUUUGAAAAAUUAUUCAUAGGUUUAUUGAGAAAUAUUUUGAAAAUAUGAUUACUUUCAUAAUUAUUUUUCUAAUCCUCAAGUCCAAUUUUUAGGUAUCUUAAUAGCCCUGAAUCUUUAGGGAUCAUGAGGCAAAGUUUUUUACAAAAUAAAAAAAUAUAUAUAUAUCUUAACAGCCCUGAGCCUUUAGGGUUCUUGAGGCUGAGUUUUGUACAACAUAAUUUUCACGAACUACGCACACCUGAUUCUUAUCUUAAUGAGAUAUGUAGGCAGUCCUUCAUGUAUUCGGUGAUUUGAAAGAAAGAAAAAAAUAUAUUUGUGUUUCCUUCGAAACAAAUAAAAAAGAGAGUUUUUGAUUUGUAUAUAAAAAUAAAUUAAUUUAUUUUCGAAAAUAAAAAAGGUUUUUUUAUCAUUAUCUUUAAAUUCAAAAAAAAAAGUCUUUCUUAUUUCUCAAAUUACAAGAAAAAUGUGUUUCUUCAUAUCUCAAGCUUCGAGAACUACGCACACCUAAUUCUCAUCUUAGUGAGAUACGUAGGCAGCCCUUCUAGGGUUUGGUGAUCUUUAAAAAAAAGAUAAAAGAAAAAGAGUUUUUAAAAAAAUAUUGCAUUUUGACGUCUUUGCUAUUUCUUAUACGGUUAGUUUAAAGUGGCCAGUUUGUGGUAUUUUGGUUGGUCCCCUAUAUUACACCAAAUUCAGGGAAGAGAGUCAUGUCCAGUAAGAAUAUAGAGAGUGAAAUCAUGGAUCAGACAAAGAGUCAGGAUAAUGAGAGGUUAAAGCAAGAGAUUGUGAGUUUGAGGCAACAAAUGUUUGAAAUGUAUCGAGCCAGUGGGCUAUCUCCUUCUCCAUUUUCCACUAUUGACCCUACAAAUACCUUGAAUUUUUCACCAAAAUUACAAGGUCAGUUUUCUGCUAUUGGUUAUGUGCCACAACAUGUCUCAGAAUCCACUCCAAGCCAAAAAAUCCCAAUGUUUCCAUCACUCAUUCUCUAGCUCUUUAGUAUAAAUCUACCACAUCGAUAACGCCACCUAUAGUCUUUUCUUCAGUUUCUCAACCCUCUACUGAGGUUUCUACCUUGGCUUUCUGUCCAGUGAUUAUGCCUCCCCAAUCUGCUAGUGAGUCGAUGUUCGGCACUCUUGAUGAUCACUAUUAUACUUCUAGCCCCACAUCUAUGUUAAUUGGACCAUCAAAAUUUCUUACUAAGAAGUCUGAUAUGGCAGAAGAGCAAGAGAAAAUGGUUAGGAAAAUGAAGAACACAGAAAAGGCUAUGAAAAAUUCUUAGGGAAUUGCAAACUAUGAAGAUAAUGCAUACAAAUACUGGGGCAUGUCUUCAAGUGUUAAACUUUCUCCAAGUCUUGAGAUAUCAAAAUUUGAGGAACAUGAUGGGUACGAGGAUUUUGUAAAACACUUGGGUCGAUAUUUCCAUUAGUUGAGAGAGUCUGAAGGAAAGAAGAAGGAAAAUGUACCUAUUAUCAUUACAGCAGCAAAACAGAGCUCAAGAGGUCCAACUUAUCAAUAUUGUCAGUUUCAAUCCUGAGCUUGCACAUUAAAUCCCUGUGCUCACCUGCAACAAGGUUCCUCUUUGGAAAAUCCAAGACAUUUCAUUCUACUUCCUCAGUAUCCUUUGAACAAUGCACAGAUGUAUGCUCAUCAAUUUUCUUAUCCACAAUGGCAUGCACUAGUCCCCCAACAUCAUCCACGACUCUCACAUAUUUAUCAAGAAACUUCUAAGUCCAAGUUUUAAUCGAGGCCGGAGUUUUCAAAGAGGAGAAAGUCAAGGAAUAAUUUUACACCAAUUGAGGAGUCAUAUGCCAGUUUAUUCCAGAGAUUGAGAAAGUUGAGCAUACUCACUCCUCUCCUUGAGUGUAAUCCUGAUCAACAUUCAAGAAAUUUUGAUUCUCAUGUAUGAUAUGCAUAUCAUUUUGAUAUUCAGGGUCACAGUAUUGAGGAUUGUCUUGCUUUGUAAGAAGAAAUAGAAAGGAUGAUUCAAGAAAAAUUGAUUGUAGUGUAAAACAUUGACACUACGAGCGUCACAUGGAAUCCUUCAACACAAGGUAAUGCACAAUACAUGGGAAAUAAUGAGUUAAGCAUGGAGAUCCAAAAUUUAUUUGUGGAAGAAAAUGUGUUGGACAGUAGUGAAAGCUCUAGUCAUGUUGAUAUGCAAACCAGUGGUUAAGAUUUUAAGCUCAACAAUUGGGAAAUCAUUCCUUUCCUUACUUGAAAGGAUUUUUGGUAGUUUGUUUUAUUUUUUCUUCUACUUUUUGAAUUAUUUCAGGAUUAUAGUUCAAAAUUUAUCUUGUUUUGUUUCUCUGUCAUUUUUGUUUAAACCCUUCUAUCUUUAAUUUUAAUAAAAUAUGGUGUCCUCGUUGUUUUGUCUUGUUUUUAAGUUGUUUGUUUGUUUUCUUUACACAAUACAUUUUAAGUUGAUUCUAGUGUUAUGACAUGCCUGCAAAAUUUUCAGCCGGAUCUUAAAUUCCAGGUUAAUUAUGAAACAAUGAAUCAGAAGCUAAAGUUAGAAAAAGAGAGCAUCUGAGAAAAUAAGUAAAGUGUUGAGGUGUUUGGGGACAUAGUUACAACCUCACUUGAAUAUAUUGAGGCAAUCACUUUGUGAAUAAAAAUGAUUUGGUCUUCAGUGAGAGAGUCCAUCUCAAAAAUUUUGAAUGAGAUCAAUCAGAGGAUAUAUAGUUUCCACAGUCAGGAGAAGCAAAAGGAAGUUAGCUCAAAAAAUAAAGGCAUGAGUCAUCUAUUGUGAGGAAAGUACAACACAUGUAGGCUUGUAUAUUUCAUGUGCACGAGAAGCACUAACAUACAUGCUCAGUUAAAAUUAAUAGUGGAAAAGAUGAGUAUGAUUUUUAUGUUCACUCUCAGAUUGCAUGUUAAGUACUUGUGUUUUUAACGAUUGAUAAGAUGAAGGCAUUUCAUUCUGCUAUCCAAAUGUUCUGUCAUCCUUUGUUACCCCUUUUGAGAUUUAAUUUUAGUUUUUUUUAUACACCUCUUUUGGAAUCAAAAUAGAGUCUGAAAAAAAUAAAAUAAAUAAAAUAAAAGUGCCAAGAAAGAGAGAUAUAGUCAGAAGAAGUGCCAAAAAGAAAUAGAGUCAGCAAAAAAAAAUCUAUGUCUCUCUCUCUAAAAAUAAAGCCAAAAAAAGAGAGCCAAAGUUAAAGAAAAAAUCAAGAAAAAGAAUAAGAUGCUUGAACUACUUUUGACUUGAUUCUUGCUAUGACAAGAUACGUAGGCAGCCCUACUCCGGAGUUUGAUCCAACCAAAAGAAAAUUUAAAUUACCCAGAAUGAAAUAAAACUGGGGCAAAAGUUUAUUUCCUUAAAAGAGUCGAUUCCAAAAGUUGUAUGCUUUACCCAAUGUUAUGUAAAUUUUUUAGCCUCAUGCCACCCUUUCUUUCUAACUCUUUCCAAAAGUCAAGUUACAUCCAAAGACAGACUUUUAGAUCAAUCUUUAAGAAUGUUGAGGCUAAACAUGUUAUAGGUGCAUGAUAUUUCAUAUUUUGGGUAUUAUUUUUCUUAUAUAUAUAUAUAUGAAAAUGAAUGAAAAUGAGAGAGUCUGAUUGGUGAAAACCCUCUUGGGCACCAUAAGGCGACACUAUGAGAAUAAUGAAAUGAGAGAGUCUUAUUGGUGAAAACCCCUAUGGGCACCAUAAGGCGACUGUGAAUUGAGAAAGAAAUGAAAAUGAGAUAGGCUCGUUGGAGAAAAACUCAUUGAGGUGUCAUUAGCCGAAGAAGAAUUAUAAUACAGAAAGAAUAAGUUCAAGAUUGGCUCAAUUUCAAGUUUAAUAAGUGGAAAAAAGUUGAUAAUGAUUGGUGUGAUUAGAUCAGGUUCUUUAAUUCAAAAUACAUGUCAUAAUCAUUGGAGUUGACUAUCAUUUUCAGAUAAAUUUUUCUUUUCACUAUUUUUAGAAAAGGACAUUCAUUUUCUUUUUUCUUUUAUAUUUCUAUUUUGUUUUCUUGAGUCGGUUAUUCAAAUGGAAAUUCAUUGUCAUUUUUUCUCGAGUCUUGGAGUCAAGUCCAUGUCAAAACAAGUGAGAAAAGAUCUCAAAACUUGCUAUCAACUUCUUUAAUUGCAUAAAGCAAGAUAAAAAGCCAACACAUAAAAAAGACAUGAUUGUGAGCUGAAAUAAGGCAUGCAGAAAGUUUUGUCAACAGACGAGUCUGGAAACUCAUGGAAAUACCAAGGUUCAAAGGGUUUAUUUGAGGAGCAUGGCAAAUCAGAGAUACUGUGUUUGUUUCAGAGUCACUUCUAAUAAUAUAAAUUUGAGUCAAUGAUGCAGUAAGUUGGUGACAGAUGCUAAUGGUUAGAAACAAGAUUAAAUGUGACGAGGGCAAGAGUGAUUGACACGAAAGCUAAAGCCAUAAACCUGCCACCAUAUUUUUGAACUCAUAAGUUUUCUUUAAUGAAAUAGAAAGCAUGUUACCUUCAAAUAAAAGACUUUAGAGCAUAAAUAUCAAGGGCUGCAUAGGUUUGAUAUUCAAAUUAUAGUAAAAUUCAUCAUCCUAUAUCCCUCAGAGGCAUACUUCUUUAUCUAGGUAUUUCAGUUUUCAAUUGCUAGGUGAUAUACUUCUUAAAUUGAACCUUGAUUCCUAUAAAAUGUACCUUUUAGUCGAGUUAUUUCCCUUGAUUCCUAUAAGACGUACCUUUUAGUUGAGUUAUUUCCCUUGAUUCCUAUAAGAAGAACCUUUUAGUCGAGUCAUUCCUAUAAAACGUACCUUUUAUUCGAGUCAUUCCCCUUGAUUCCUAUAAGAUGUACCUUUUAGUCAAGUCAUUUCCCUUGAUUCCUAUAAAACGUACCUUUUAGUUGAGUCAUUCCCCUUGAUUCCUAUAAGACGUACCUUUUAGUCGAGUCAUUCCCCUUGAUUCCUAUAAGACGUACCUUUUACUCGAGUCAUCCCCCUUGAUUCCUAUAAGAUAUACCUUAUAGUCGAUUCAUUCUCCUUGAUUCCUAUAAGAUAUACCUUAUAGUCGAUUCAUUCUCCUUGAUUCCUAUAAGAUAUACCUUUUAGUUGAGUCAUUCCCCUUGAUUUCUAAAAGAUGUAGAUGUACUUUCUAUUUGAGUCAUUUUAUUUAACCCCUAAGAGAUGCACUUCCUUAUCUAGGUGAUUUAAGAUUCAUGUGUUAGGAGACGUAUUUUCUAAUUUUGGUCAUCAAUUUUACUUUGAAGAGACGCAUUUUUUUUGCAGGGCUUUGAUUCACACUUUUUUUGUACUUUUCAAAAAUUGUAAUCUGAUGAUGCUCAUAAAAUUUUCUAGUACAAACUGGGGAAAAAUUUUUUGUUUGUGUUUAUUGAAUUUUACUUUCUGCUCAGGACUCGCCUGAAGAAUAGGGUGAAGAAAGAGAAAGUCUAGGAGCCUGCCUAAAGAACAGGGUGAAGAAAAAGGAAGUCCAGGAGCCUACCUGAAGAAUAGGGUGAAGGAAAAGUAAGUCCAGGAGCCCGACUGAAGAACAAGGUAAAGAAAAAGGAAGUCUAGGAAUCUGCCUGAAGAACAAGAUGAAGGAAAAGUAAGUCUGGGAACCCACCUGAAGAAUAAGGUGAAGAAAAAGUUAUUCCAGGAGCCCGCUUGAAGAAUAGGGUGAAGAAAAAAGUAAGUCCAGGAGCCUGCCUGAAGAACAGGA